GAAAACAAGCAGAAGCAUCCCGCUUCUCGCCUAAGUUGACAAGGGUCCUUGGGCUGAUAGGAAAUGUUCAAGUUUUAAAAAGACAUUGGCAGCGGGAGUAUUCGAUUACUUCCGUUGCUUUUUUGCUUU
rfam:Granulicatella adiacens ATCC 49175 genomic scaffold SCAFFOLD1, whole genome shotgun sequence.